rnacentral:rRNA from 1 species
UUAAGGUUUCCGACGGAAGGUCAAUCCACGUCGGGUUAGUCGGGCCUAAGGCGAGGCCGGAUGGCGUAGUCGAUGGACAACAGGUUAAUAUUCCUGUACCACGUAAUACCGAUUGAGUGAAGGGGUGACGCAGGGGGGUAGGCCAGCCAGUUAUUGGAUUCUGGUGCUAAGCCUGUAGGGCGACGAAAGGGAUAGGGAAAACCGUUCCUAGAGCCUGAGGGGUGAUGGCGGAGCCCGAGAGGGCCGGAAGUGGUUGAGCCCGCGCUGCCGAGAAAAGCCUCUAGCGAGGUAUGCGUGACCGUACCGCAAACCGACACAGGUAGAUGGGUAGAGAAUACCAAGGCGAACGGGAGAACCCUUGUUAAGGAACCAGGCAAAUUAAGUCCGUAACUUAGGGAAAAGGACUGCCACUGGUUGUGAGGGCGACUAGCUUGUCUGAGCGAUUGGUGGUCGCAGCGAAAUGGCUCUGCCGACUGUUUAACAAAAACACAGGUCUCUGCGAAAGCGAAAGCUGACGUAUAGGGGCUGACGCCUGCCCAGUGCCGGAAGGUUAAGGGGAGAUGUGAUGAGCAUUGAACCGAAGCCCCGGUGAACGGCGGCCGUAACUAUAACGGUCCUAAGGUAGCGAAAUUCCUUGUCGGGUAAGUUCCGACCCGCACGAAAGGCGUAACGAGCAGAGCACUGUCUCAACAAGGGACCCGGCGAAGUUGAAAUAGCGGUGAAGAGGCCGUUUACCCGCAGCAGGACAAAAAGACUCCGUGGAGCUUUACUGUAGCUCGACAUUGAGUUAGGGCUUUGUCUGUGUAGGAUAGGUGGGAGGCUGUGAAGCUGGUCCGCUAGGAUCGGUGGAGUCGACGUUGAAAUACCACCCUGAUGGAGUCUUGGCUCUAACCUGUGGCCCUAAUCGGGCAUGGGGACAGUGUCUGGUAGGCAGUUUGACUGGGGCGGUCGCCUCCUAAAGAGUAACGGAGGCGCCCAAAGGUUCCCUCAGGCUGAAUGGAAACCAGCCGCAGAGUGUAAAGGCAUAAGGGAGCUUGACUGCGAGACAAACAAGUCGAGCAGAGACGAAAGUCGGGCUUAGUGAUCCUACGGUUCCGAGUGGAAGGGCCGUGGCUUAACGGACAAGAGCUACCCCGGGGAUAACAGGCUGAUCUCCUCCAAGAGUUCACAUCGACGAGGAGGUUUGGCACCUCGAUGUCGGCUCGUCGCAUCCUGGGGCUGAAGUAGGUCCCAAGGGUCCGGCUGUUCGCCGGUUAAAGCGGUACGCGAGCUGGGUUCAGACCGUCGUGAGACAGGUCGGUCUCUAUCCGCUGUGGGCGAAGGGGAUUUGAGAGGGGCUGCCCCUAGUACGAGAGGACCGGGGUGGACAGACCGCUGGUGUACCAGUUGUCUCGCCAGAGGCAUGGCUGGGUAGCUAAGUCUGGCAGCGAUAACCGCUGAAAGCAUCUAAGUGGGAAACGCGCCUCAAGAUGAGAUCCCCCACUGUAAAAGGGUAAGUGCACCGGGAGACUACCGGUUAGAUAGGCGGCAGGUGUACGCACUGUGAGGUGUUGAGCCGAGCCGUACUAAUGCACGAGGACUUAAUCU